rnacentral:rRNA from 1 species
GACGAACGCUGGCGGCGUGCUUAACACAUGGCAAGUCGAACGGAAAGGCCCUUCGGGGUACUCGAGUGGCGAACGGGUGAGUAACACGUGGGUAACCUGCCCUCAGCUUCGGGAUAACUCCGGGAAACCGGGGCUAAUACCGGAUAUUCGAUUGUCUGCCGCAUGGUGGGUGGUGGAAAGUUUUUUCGGGCUGGGGGAUGGGCCCGCGGCCUAUCAGCUUGUUGGUGGGGUGAUGGCCUACCAAGGCGUCGACGGGUAGCCGGCCUGAGAGGGUGAACGGCCACACUGGGACUGAGACACGGCCCAGACUCCUACGGGAGGCAGCAGUGGGGAAUUUUGGACAAUGGGCGGAAGCCUGAUCCAGCCAUGCCGCGUGAGUGAAGAAGGCCUUCGGGUUGUAAACUGCUUUUGUACGGAACGAAACGGCUCUCUCUAAUACAGGGGGCUAAUGACGGUACCGUAAGAAUAAGCACCGGCUAACUACGUG